UACGAAGGGGGCUAGCGUUGUUCGGAUUUACUGGGCGUAAAGCGCACGUAGGCGGAUUGUUAAGUCAGGGGUGAAAUCCUGGAGCUCAACUCCAGAACUGCCUUUGAUACUGGCAAUCUCGAGUCCGGAAGAGGUAAGUGGAACUCCUAGUGUAGAGGUGGAAUUCGUAGAUAUUCGGAAGAACACCAGUGGCGAAGGCGGCUGACUGGACAUGUAUUGACGCUGAGGUGCGAAAGCGUGGGGAGCAAACAGG
rnacentral:rRNA from 1 species